GUGCCUCUGCGUUCAAAUGCAGGUACCAAGAAAGAAAAAAAGGUGCACCUUUCAUUCUACCCCAUAUACACCUUAGCCAAGGUCCUGUGCCCCAUCUGUAUUGUGAAUGGGGAAACAUGG
rnacentral:snoRNA from 1 species